rnacentral:rRNA from 1 species
AUACGGAGGGUGCAAGCGUUAAUCGGAAUUACUGGGCGUAAAGCGUACGUAGGCGGUCCGUUAAGUUAGAUGUGAAAGCCCCGGGCUUAACCUGGGAACUGCAUUUAAAACUGGCGGACUAGAGUUGAGUAGAGGGGAGUGGAAUUUCAGGUGUAGCGGUGAAAUGCGUAGAGAUCUGAAGGAACACCAGUGGCGAAGGCGACUCCCUGGACUCGAACUGACGCUGAGGUACGAAAGCGUGGGUAGCAAACGGAAUUAGAAACCCCAGUAGUCC